AGCGUACACGGUGGAUGCCCUGGCAGUCAGAGGCGAUGAAGGACGUGCUAAUCUGCGAAAAGCGUCGGUAAGGUGAUAUGAACCGUUAUAGCCGGCGAUGUCCGAAUGGGGAAACCCAGUGCAAUUCGUUGCACUAUCGUUUGAUGAAUACAUAGUCAAACGAGGCGAACCGGGGGAACUGAAACAUCUAAGUACCCCGAGGAAAAGAAAUCAACCGAGAUUCCCCCAGUAGCGGCGAGCGAACGGGGAGCAGCCCGGAGUCUGAAUCAGCUUGUGUGUUAGUGGAAGCGUCUGGAAAGUCGCAGGGUACAGGGUGAUACUCCCGUACACUAAAGCACACAGGUUGUGAACUCGAAGAGUAGGGCGGGACACGUGGUAUCCUGUCUGAAUAUGGGGGGACCAUCCUCCAAGGCUAAAUACUCCUGACUGACCGAUAGUGAACCAGUACCGUGAGGGAAAGGCGAAAAGAACCCCGGCGAGGGGAGUGAAAAAGAACCUGAAACCGUGUACGUACAAGCAGUAGGAGCCUCUUUAUGGGGUGACUGCGUACCUUUUGUAUAAUGGGUCAGCGACUUAUAUUCUGUAGCAAGGUUAACCGUAUAGGGGAGCCGCAGGGAAACCGAGUCUUAACUGGGCGUUAAGUUGCAGGGUAUAGACCCGAAACCCGGUGAUCUAGCCAUGGGCAGGUUGAAGGUUGGGUAACACUAACUGGAGGACCGAACCGACUAAUGUUGAAAAAUUAGCGGAUGACUUGUGGCUGGGGGUGAAAGGCCAAUCAAACCGGGAGAUAGCUGGUUCUCCCCGAAAGCUAUUUAGGUAGCGCCUCGUGAAUUCAUCUUCGGGGGUAGAGCACUGUUUCGGCUAGGGGGUCAUCCCGACUUACCAACCCGAUGCAAACUACGAAUACCGAAGAAUGUUAUCACGGGAGACACACGGCGGGUGCUAACGUCCGUCGUGAAGAGGGAAACAACCCAGACCGCCAGCUAAGGUCCCAAAGUCAUGGUUAAGUGGGAAACGAUGUGGGAAGGCCCAGACAGCCAGGAUGUUGGCUUAGAAGCAGCCAUCAUUUAAAGAAAGCGUAAUAGCUCACUGGUCGAGUCGGCCUGCGCGGAAGAUGUAACGGGGCUAAACCAUGCACCGAAGCUGCGGCAGCGACACUAUGUGUUGUUGGGUAGGGGAGCGUUCUGUAAGCCGUUGAAGGUGGCCUGUGAGGGUUGCUGGAGGUAUCAGAAGUGCGAAUGCUGACAUAAGUAACGAUAAUGCGGGUGAAAAACCCGCACGCCGGAAGACCAAGGGUUCCUGUCCAACGUUAAUCGGGGCAGGGUGAGUCGACCCCUAAGGCGAGGCCGAAAGGCGUAGUCGAUGGGAAACAGGUUAAUAUUCCUGUACUCGGUGUUACUGCGAAGGGGGGACGGAGAAGGCUAUGUUGGCCGGGCGACGGUUGUCCCGGUUUAAGCAUGUAGGCGGAUGUUCCAGGUAAAUCCGGAANNNNNNNAACGCUGAGGUGUGAUGACGAGGCACUACGGUGCUGAAGUGACAAAUGCCCUGCUUCCAGGAAAAGCCUCUAAGCAUCAGGUAACAUCAAAUCGUACCCCAAACCGACACAGGUGGUCAGGUAGAGAAUACCAAGGCGCUUGAGAGAACUCGGGUGAAGGAACUAGGCAAAAUGGUGCCGUAACUUCGGGAGAAGGCACGCUGAUAGGUAGGUGAAGUGGUUUACCCAUGGAGCUGAAAUCAGUCGAAGAUACCAGCUGGCUGCAACUGUUUAUUAAAAACACAGCACUGUGCAAACACGAAAGUGGACGUAUACGGUGUGACGCCUGCCCGGUGCCGGAAGGUUAAUUGAUGGGGUUAUCCGUAAGGAGAAGCUCUUGAUCGAAGCCCCGGUAAACGGCGGCCGUAACUAUAACGGUCCUAAGGUAGCGAAAUUCCUUGUCGGGUAAGUUCCGACCUGCACGAAUGGCGUAAUGAUGGCCAGGCUGUCUCCACCCGAGACUCAGUGAAAUUGAACUCGCUGUGAAGAUGCAGUGUACCCGCGGCAAGACGGAAAGACCCCGUGAACCUUUACUAUAGCUUGACACUGAACACUGGUCCUUGAUGUGUAGGAUAGGUGGGAGGCUUUGAAGUGUGGACGCCAGUCUGCAUGGAGCCAUCCUUGAAAUACCACCCUUUAAUGGCUGGUGUUCUAACGUGGGCCCCUAAUCGGGGUUGCGGACAGUGUCUGGUGGGUAGUUUGACUGGGGCGGUCUCCUCCUAAAGAGUAACGGAGGAGCACGAAGGUCAGCUAAUCCUGGUCGGACAUCAGGAGGUUAGUGCAAUGGCAUAAGCUGGCUUGACUGCGAGCGUGACGGCGCGAGCAGGUGCGAAAGCAGGUCAUAGUGAUCCGGUGGUUCUGAAUGGAAGGGCCAUCGCUCAACGGAUAAAAGGUACUCCGGGGAUAACAGGCUGAUACCGCCCAAGAGUUCAUAUCGACGGCGGUGUUUGGCACCUCGAUGUCGGCUCAUCACAUCCUGGGGCUGAAGUAGGUCCCAAGGGUAUGGCUGUUCGCCAUUUAAAGUGGUACGCGAGCUGGGUUUAGAACGUCGUGAGACAGUUCGGUCCCUAUCUGCCGUGGGCGCUGGAGAAUUGAGGGGGGCUGCUCCUAGUACGAGAGGACCGGAGUGGACGCAUCACUGGUGUUCGGGUUGUCAUGCCAAUGGCAUUGCCCGGUAGCUAAAUGCGGAAGAGAUAAGUGCUGAAAGCAUCUAAGCACGAAACUUGCCCCGAGAUGAGUUCUCCCUGACUCCUUGA
rnacentral:rRNA from 1 species